GACAGAGGUUGCAAGCGUUGUUCGGAAUUACUGGGCAUAAAGCGCACGUAGGCGGUCCGCUAAGUCAUGUGUGAAAUCCCCCGGCUCAACCGGGGAAUGGCGCCUGAUACUGGCGGACUCGAGAUCGGUAGGGGUGAGUGGAACUCCAGGUGGAGCGGUGAAAUGCGUAGAUAUCUGGAGGAACACCGGUGGCGAAAGCGACUCACUGGACCCGAUCUGACACUGAGGUGCGAAAGCUAGGGUAGCAAACAGG
rnacentral:rRNA from 1 species